rnacentral:tRNA from 1 species
GAGAGGGCCAGCCUAAUACGAGAACUGCUAAUUCUAGUACCUGGGCUAAAUCCCCAGACCUCUUA